CGAAAGCGUGGGGAGCGAACAGGAUUAGAUACCCUGGUAGUCCACGCCGUAAACGAUGAGUGCUAAGUGUUAGGGGGUUUCCGCCCCUUAGUGCUGCAGCUAACGCAUUAAGCACUCCGCCUGGGGAGUACGGUCGCAAGACUGAAACUCAAAGGAAUUGACGGGGGCCCGCACAAGCGGUGGAGCAUGUGGUUUAAUUCGAAGCAACGCGAAGAACCUUACCAGGUCUUGACAUCCUCUGACAAUCCUAGAGAUAGGACGUCCCCUUCGGGGGCAGAGUGACAGGUGGUGCAUGGUUGUCGUCAGCUCGUGUCGUGAGAUGUUGGGUUAAGUCCCGCAACGAGCGCAACCCUUGAUCUUAGUUGCCAGCAUUCAGUUGGGCACUNUAAGGUGACUGCCGGUGACAAACCGGAGGAAGGUGGGGAUGACGUCAAAUCAUCAUGCCCCUUAUGACCUGGGCUACACACGUGCUACAAUGGACAGAACAAAGGGC
rnacentral:rRNA from 1 species